ensembl:misc_RNA 7SK 7SK RNA
GGAUGUGGAGGCAAUCUGGCUGUGACAUCUGUCACCCCAUUGAUUACCAGGGUGGAUUCUGCUGAUCCGGCUGGCUGGGUGUUCCCUUCCUCCCUCGCUGUUGCAUGUGGAUCCUCCCAAAGCUGUGUGUCAGUGGGCCUUCCCCAAUAGCUCUUCAGUCAAGGUAUGAGUAGCUGUGCCCCCUGCAGAUAGAACCUCCAAACAAGUUAUCAGAAAUAUCAGCUAGGUGGCGGGCCUGUAGCCUAAUGGCUAAGGAAGCACGUGCUACGUGGCCAAUCAUGGUGUGAGUCCUGGCCCUGGCA